UACGAAGGGGGCUAGCGUUGUUCGGAAUUACUGGGCGUAAAGCGCGCGUAGGCGGAUAUUUAAGUCAGGGGUGAAAUCCCGGGGCUCAACCCUGGAACUGCCUUUGAUACUGGAUAUCUGGAGUUCGGGAGAGGUGAGUGGAAUUCCGAGUGUAGAGGUGAAAUUCGUAGAUAUUCGGAAGAACACCAGUGGCGAAGGCGGCUCACUGGCCCGUUACCGACGCUCAGGCGCGACAGCGUGGGGAGCAAACAGG
rnacentral:rRNA from 1 species